UCCAAAACAGUACUUUGGUUUCAUCAUCUUAAAGUUGCACCUUUAUUUUGAAACGCUCACCGUGUUACCUUUUUCCCAUCUUAGCACAGAUCGAGCCUUAAAAUUCAAACAACGAGGAUAUUUACUCAGCUCAGCAGUGUGGAAAUAUUCUGGGUUAUUGGACGAGUCAACGGACAAACAGAGCAACUCACUCAGUGGUCAGCUAACUUGUUGCUCUUGCUACAGCGACAGCGAUCAGUUUUCAAGAAUGUCAGGCUGGGAAAUCCUGCAUGCUAACGGAAAUUUGUUGGGAGAUGCAAUGACUUAAACCAGCAGUGAGUAUGAAACAGUUGAAGUAAACAGUACAAAUCUGAUUGCUUUUGAUGACGAUGAUGUUAACCAAGUAGUCUUUUUUUCUGGUUUGCACUUUGGCACAGCACCACAAAAACUAAACACUGCAAAUUUGGGACUAUGACUAAAAUACUGUAUAUGAAAAUAGAAGCAAAGCUAAAAUAAAUUGCCCUUGUAGCACCACACGGCCUCGCUGCAGGGUCGUGGUGUUGUCAGCCUGUCUAACAGUAACACCACAUUAGGCUUGGCGAACAUCCUCGCUGUCAAACAGCGCGCACACCGAGCCUCUCCAGAGGAACGGGCUGAGAUUAAAUGUCAGGCAGCCGCUCUGCUGGCUGAUGGGAGGUGGAAGACAGCCGCAGCCCCUGAGCGUCUCCAGUGGCGUUAGACAGAAAGAGAGUGAGACAGUGAAGAUCCUGUAGUGACUCUGGUCAUCUCAGCUCUGAAGGCUAAGAAAGGUUCACAGCUCCCCUCCAACGGCUGGACGUCCCGGCCGGCUCGUCCUUGUUUAGCACACUUGACUUUUUUUCCAGACGACUCGUGGCAGGUGGACGAGGAGGAGCGGGAGAAAACAGCCUUCAAGACGAGCUCGUAGCAGCGACGUACAUUGGGGCCUCAACAGUUCUUUGAACGCAUCACGGAGCUGGUCGUCGGGGUGUCACGUCUACAUGUUGUGUUUUGACGUUGCGGCCUCCGUUACACCUUCAGGAUUUUGCUGUGUUUCAAGCGUUCCGGCUUUGUUUCUCUCUGUUAUCUGUGUUCAUGGAUAUGACGUGAUGGUCUUUUCGGCUUGUUGUUUUAGUUGCCUGGGGAAUCGCUUUUAUUUGCCUUGUGCAGCGAGGUGACGCCUUGUUUUACUGCCACUGUCGUCCCUCUGCUGCUGCAGGGUGGAGUCGAGGCGGAGGAGGACGUUCACCGGAUCAUUCGUAGCUUCCACCAUCAUUUUGUUUUUUUGCAUAUUGGCUUUUCAGUCCUCCACAGACAUCGUGAUCAAAACAUUUUGACACAUCAACACUGACAGGAUUGUGAGUGAGUAGUGAGCAGAGGCGUGAUCGUGCAGGUGAAGGUGUAAUCACCUGUGUGGGUCGACCACUGCUGCAUUUAGAUCUAAUUGUAGUGAAGAUUAUAAUCGUCCAACAUGUUCCUGUGUGUCUGCUCCCUGUGACUUCAUCUUUUCUCCUUUGUUUUCAUGUUAAAGCUGUCUGGAUUCUCCUUGUUGCCUGUUUGUUUCGUGUCUUUUUAGUUCUUGCAUCUUGGAUUUUUUUGUGCGACAGCUGUCAUUAUAAAAGCUCACUUUCUGUUGUUCUACCUGCCGGCCUGUGUUUGGGAACUGUGAUAAUUACUGAGAGGCAAACAAAGACACCUAAUAAAGUCUGAAAAUGUA